GAUGAACGCUGGCGGCGUGCCUAAUACAUGCAAGUCGAGCGAACAGAUGAGGAGCUUGCUCCUUUGACGUUAGCGGCGGACGGGUGAGUAACACGUGGAUAACCCACCUAUAAUACUGGUAUAACUUCGGAAAACCGGAUCAAAUCCCGGAGAAUAUAUUGAACCGCAUGGUUCAAUAGAGAAUGACGGCUUUGCGGUCACUAAUAGAUGCUUCCGGGCGGGGUUGGCUGGUUGGUAGGGUAACGGCUUACGAAGGCAACGAUGCGUAGCCGAGCUGAGAGGGGGAUCGGCCACACUGGAGCUGAGACACGGUCCAGAGUCCUACGGGAGGCCGAGGUAGGGACUGGUGCGAACUGGGCGAAAGCCUGACGGAGCAGCGCCGGGUGGGUGGUGAAGGGCUUCGGGUCGUAAAACUCUGUUCUUGGGGAAGAACAAAUGUGUCUGUAACGAUGCGCGUCUGAAGGGUACCUAAAAAGAAGGCCCCGCUUACCUACUU
rnacentral:rRNA from 1 species